rnacentral:rRNA from 1 species
AUUGAACGCUGGCGGCAUGCCUUACACAUGCAAGUCGAACGGUAGAGGGGGCAACCCCCUUGAGAGUGGCGAACGGGUGAGUAAUAUAUCGGAACGUGCCCAGUCGUGGGGAUAACGUAGCGAAAGUUACGCUAAUACCGCAUACGAUCUAAGGAUGAAAGCGGGGGACUCGCAAGAGCCUCGCGCGAUUGGAGCGGCCGAUAUCAGAUUAGGUAGUUGGUGGGGUAAAGGCUCACCAAGCCAACGAUCUGUAGCUGGUCUGAGAGGACGACCAGCCACACUGGAACUGAGACACGGUCCAGACUCCUACGGGAGGCAGCAGUGGGGAAUUUUGGACAAUGGNGCAAGCCUGACUCCAGCAAUGCGCUGCAGGAUGAAGGCCUUCGGUU